rnacentral:rRNA from 1 species
UGCGUAGGCGGAUUAAUAAGUCAGUGGUGAAAACCUGCAGCUUAACUGUAGAACUGCCAUUGAUACUGUUAGUCUUGAGUACGGUCAAGGUAGGCGGAAUGUGUAAUGUAGCGGUGAAAUGCUUAGAUAUUACACAGAACACCGAUUGCGAAGGCAGCUUACUGGACCAUUACUGACGCUGGGGCACGAAAGCGUGGGGAGCGAACAGGAUUAGAUACCCUGGUAGUCC